rnacentral:rRNA from 1 species
UACGGAAGGCAGCAGUGGGGAAUAUUGCACAAUGGGCGAAAGCCUGAUGCAGCUAUGCCGCGUGUAUGAAGAAGGCCUUAGGGUUGUAAAGUACUUUCAUCGGGGAGGAAAAAACAAAACUAAUAAUUUUAUUUCUUGACGUUACCCGAAAAAGAAGCACCGGCUAACUCCGUGCCAGCAGCCGCGGUAAUACGGAGGGUGCUAGCGUUAAUCAGAAUUACUGGGCGUAAAGAGCACGUAGGUGGUUUUUUAAGUCAGAUGUGAAAUCCCUGGGCUUAACCUAGGAACUGCAUUUUGAAACUGAAAUACUAGAGUAUCGUAGAGGGAGGUAGAAUUCUAGGUGUAGCGGUGAAAUGCGUAGAUAUCUGGAGGAAUACCUGUGGCGAAAGCGGCCUCCUAAACGAAUACUGAUACUGAGGUGCGAAAGCGUGGGGAGCAAACAGGGAUUAGAUCC